rnacentral:rRNA from 1 species
UACGGGGGGAGCAAGCGUUGUUCGGAUUUACUGGGCGUAAAGGGCGCGUAGGCGGUCGUGACAAGUCACUUGUGAAAUCUCCGGGCUUAACUCGGAACGGUCAAGUGAUACUGUCGGACUAGAGUACAGAAGGGGCAACUGGAAUUCUCGGUGUAGCGGUGAAAUGCGUAGAUAUCGAGAGGAACACCUGCGGCGAAGGCGGGUUGCUGGGCUGAUACUGACGCUGAGGCGCGAAACGAGCCAGGGGAGCGGAACGGG